AUGACGUGCACAAGCUGUUCUCGAUCUUUUGAGCAUGCCUUGCAAAUGUGUGUUCAAGAAGCUAGUAGUGGUCACAAUGUGUACCAAGCAACUUUGAAUACUAAUUCAGAUGGAUCCUCAACACUCAUGUUCAGUUCAUUAUUGGAAAAAGGCAAAUAUUUGGAGUAUAUGGUGAAAGGGAAAACAUCGGCUGCUUUAGAAAAGCUUAUUCGACUUGUUUAUGAUAAAGCUUAUUUGCUAAAUUUUGAUGCUAAUGUAAAUGUGGUAGGAGCAAUCUUCACAACCUUUAGAACAAGGUUGUUUUUCAAGAUUGGUGGAGUGUAA